GAGAUGCUACAUCCCC
rnacentral:sRNA from 1 species